rnacentral:misc_RNA from 1 species
UUAACUGUCAUGUGUCGUCUGAGGGGUGACGCUGAUGCACGGUGUGUGGUGUGUUUCCAGCGGCGGGUUGCCCCGCCGAGGGAAGUAACGGUAGGUGUAGAUAGGCACGGGUGGCGAGCUGGACGCCGCCCAGGUGAAACCCGGGCGGCGUAGCAAGCAAACAGUAAUGAUCCUUCCGCAGGUUCACCUACGGAAA